CUACGGGAGGCAGCAGUGAGGAAUAUUGGGCAAUGGGCGAAAGCCUGACCCAGCCAUGCCGCGUGAAGGAUGACUGCCCUAUGGGUUGUAAACUUCUUUUGUAAGGGAAGAAUGAUUCCUACGUGUAGGAAUGUGACGGUACCUUAUGAAUAAGCACCGGCUAACUCCGUGCCAGCAGCCGCGGUAAUACGGAGGGUGCAAGCGUUAUCCGGAUUUAUUGGGUUUAAAGGGUGCGUAGGCGGAAUUUUAAGUCAGUGGUGAAAUCCUGCAGCUCAACUGUAGAACUGCCAUUGAUACUGAUCUUCUUGAAUUUAGUUGAGGUGGGCGGAACGUGUAAUGUAGCGGUGAAAUGCUUAGAUAUUACACAGAACACCGAUUGCGAAGGCAGCUCACUAAACUAACAUUGACGCUGAGGCACGAAAGCGUGGGUAGCGAACAGGAUUAGAUACCCCCGUAGUC
rnacentral:rRNA from 1 species